rnacentral:rRNA from 1 species
GCAGCCGCGGUAAUUCCAGCUCCAAUAGCGUAUAUUAAAGUUGUUGCAGUUAAAAAGCUCGUAGUUGAAUUUCGGGAUUAAUUUAUCGGUCGUGCUUUUGUACGUACUGGUAUUAUUGAUUCCUACCUUCUGACGAACCAUGAUGUCAUUAAUUUGGUGUCUUGGGGAAUCAGGACUGUUACUUUGAAAAAAUUAGAGUGUUUAAAGCAGGCUCACGCUUGAAUACAUUAGCAUGGAAUAACGAAAUAGGACGUUUGAUUCUAUUUUGUUGGUUUCUAGGAUCGACGUAAUGAUUAAUAGGGAUAGUUGGGGGCAUUAGUAUUCAAUUGUCAGAGGUGAAAUUCUUGGAUUUAUUGAAGACUAACUACUGCGAAAGCAUUUGCCAAGGAUGUUUUCAUUAAUCAAGAACGAAAGUUAGGGGAUCGAAGACGAUCAGAUACCGUCGUAGUCUUAACCAUAAACUAUGCCGACUAGGGAUCGGAUGAUGUUAAUUUUUUAAUGACUCAUUCGGCGCCUUACGGG